AAUGAACAUCAUGCCAGUGACAGCAAACAUGUGGUGUGUGCAGUGUGUGUGCAGACACCCAACGGUGAUCCACAGUACUACAGCUGCAACUUCAUUGGCCACCUCAACCUGCGUCACUGCUACUACCUGGACGAUAUAACUAAUCUCAACCAGACUGAUGAGAUGAACAUUCAGUGUGCAAUUCUAGCAUCAUACAGAGACAAUUAUUAGACCUCAUUUUCAGAAAGAUGACUACACAGUUCUCGGGGGCUGUGGGGGGUUAUUCUGAACAACACCUUAAAAAAUGCUUGAGAAGAAGAUUCUGAACCACAAGGAAGAAAACAAUUGAGAAAUCAGUCAAAGAAAUGGUGUAUCGAGGAUGUGAUAUUAAGGUAGUUUACCAAUGUUAUGUAAAAUGUAA